ACACGGAAUGCACAGUGAUUUGACAUGAGCUUCUUUAUCAGCAUGAUUCUUUGCUCAAGAUAGGCUUCUUAGCUUAAGGAGAAGACAACCCAAAAAAUCCUUGGAACCCAACAACUCCUCACCUUGGUGAUGGCCCCCGACCGAUGGUCUACCACCGCUGGGUGAGCACUAGACAACCAACAGUGCUGAUGCCUGCUCCAGAUCAGGGAGCACGACAACUCCUGGAAGACGCCCUGCUGACACCCAAAUAACGACCUGAAUGUUAAUGAUGUAGUCGGCAAGGCAGUGCGCGGAGGACCGGGGCCGGGGAGGAAGCCUGCAGUAGGAGCUGCCUCAUAUGGUGGUGCUUAAGAACAUUUUUCAUUCUGCUGGAUCCAAGCUACUUUGUUCAAAGUCGAUGAAAUUGGGGGGCUUCUGUUGAAGAUCUAAGCCCUUUCGCACAUGGAUUCAGUUCGUCUCGAGCAUCACAAGCUUCCUGAAACUUAUUCUUCACAAUGAUCAGCCCACCUUGCCUGGCCUUAGGCGUCAAUCAAACUGGAUUUCGGCCAACGGCUGGUCUCAAUCUCUGUGUGGCCGCACAUCAUGGAGAGCUUCCCCUUCUCUGCGAUCUACCUGUGCGGCAACAGAUCGAGGCCCUCUCUUCACUUUGGCCUACGGUCCACUAACUUUUCGCUCUGAACCAUUCCCUGUUUUUGUAAGAACUGCUUUUACUCUCUUGAUUUCAUUGUCCAAACAUUAACUACACAUGUUGUACAACACCACGGGCGCGGCGUGCGCCGCGCCACACUUCCUAGUUUGUUUGGUAAGGAUUCUAAAGUCGUUGCUUAAGUUGAGACACUCACUCUUAAUAUUUUUUAGGGUUUCGGGUUGCAUUUCUUAGUGGUUAUAAAAUUUGAAUUAGGGUUUCUCAUUAUUUCUUACAACUUUAAAGAAAUAAAUGUUAAUUAAAGAUUAAAUUUAAUAAAUUAACUUUUGAACAUAAGUUGGUAUUGAUUGUAACAUUUUUAAUAUUUUUUUAUUAAUUUUAGAAAAUAAUUAGGAAAAUAUUUUUUAGGGUUUAAACUUAAAUAAUUAUAUAGUUAAUAAUAAUACAAUUAAAGAAAAUUUACUUCUGAUGUACUCUUGAGUUUCUAAAGGAUUAUUCAAUAUUUUAAGUAUAUUACUAUUUGUUAUUUAUUUUCCUUGGAACUUAGAAUAAAAGAAAAGGCAUAAACAAGGUUUAUUAAAUUUAAUUUUUAUUUCAAGUAAGCACACAAGGUUAAAGUGGAAACAAACAAAUCCUAUUUGCGUUAGUAAGCACAAUUUUUAUUUUAUUUUAUUUGAAUUAGUUAUGAAUUAUCCAAUUUCGGUACAUUUUAUAGAAUUUGAAUUAAAUAGGAAAUAGUAUUUUCAAAAUUUAUUUAAUACUCAUAACUUUUUAUACCAGUCGGUAUCUAGUCACAUACCCUUAUAGUGAGGUCAGGUCCAUAAAAAAAUGCCACGUUAGCACUAGACUUGGUCAAACCUAGCAACGGGUCCCACCUGAUGGUGUCACCUCACCGGAAAAAAGACAUCAACGCGCCGGUGGUCGACGAUGAUGGUGAUAUAUACCUCGCGCGACCAAUGCGAAGUAGUAGGUUCGAAUCGUGAGUCCACGAGAAACCAAAUGGUAGGAGUGCCACCAGUUAAAGGUCACCGGAGUUACUCCGGUGAACUCAACUGCGGGUGAACUCCGACCAACUAUCUAAAACGGCCUAUAGAUGAUUGAUGGCAACAAAUCCAUGUGUACCAACUCGUUGGGACUCCAAGUGCAGAGUGUUGUAGCAAAUGUAUUUUCCCCAGAAAGGUGACUCAAGGGUUUAUAUCGAACUCUCAGGGAAUUGGUAAAAGGUUAUUUCUUCUUCUCCUCUUCUAGCAACUUGCAAAUUAAAGUAGGAUAGAGUUCCAAGCAUGGUUUGUUCAAAGAUUCAUAUGGUUUAUGUGUUUGACCCCUUACAAGUUGAAUGGGCCAUGCCCCUUCACCAUGAGUACCCACACCACAUGCUACUCAACUUAGGAUCACUUAAGAUUGUCAUUGUAAACAUAUAGUUUUCUCAAGAACGUCGUCAACCGAGGUACCCCUUGCCCCUUGGUAGGAAAAGCCCUUCUUUUUUAGCGGGUCUUAUCCAUACUUCAGAAGACAAAACAAUAAAAAAUGAAUCACAUCACAUCAUAAAUUUAUUUUAUUUAUUAUUUGCGUAGCUUUUAUAAAAAGGCUUCACAAAGUGUUCAUGUUGUAAACUUCCACCAUGAUGGGUUAGCGGUCCAGACGUCUCUUUCAUUAUUAUAUGCGUACUCCAUAUUGUUCAAUUUAUUUUACAUCGAUGAACAUCCAUAGAAAAAAUAUCAUGAUAUCAACUAAGAGUGCAAUGUUUGAAAGCUUUCUCCAGAAUAACAUGGUUAAGCUAACAAACAACUUAUAAAAUGUCAAUCACAUAACUUCCAUCAUGGUGUUACCCCACACCCUACUUUCUCAUGAUCUUUAAACUACACAAAAGAGAUAUUUUGAAGUAUUUGGAGGCACAACGCAUAUAUUAUACUUGAAGUAGCAAGUGCGACAUAUGUAGGUAUGGUGGGUGUUUGAUUUGAGGUGUUUGUAUACACGUCAUAGCGUGUUUGAGAAUUUUGGGCUAGUAAAAAGAUCUAAAAGCAUUACUUAUCAAACAAGGCCCCUUAGUAUUUAACAUCAAUGUAUAUGAGCAAAAGGUGGCACUAAAUAAGGCACUAGAAAAUUAUCAUUCAUCAAAGUAUUUAGCUAGCAACACUAAGCAUGACUUUGAAUUUUAGCUUUUUUUUGCUUUCAUUCCGUUUUAUUUUGAUAGCAUACAACUUAUUUAAAUCAAGGCAUUCAAUCAUGAGAUAGUUUUUUUUCAGUAGCUCUUUCCAAAGCAAGCAAAAUAUCUAUCAUGGUUGUCUCAUUUAUUUCCAAGCAAAACUAGACAUAACACUAAAUAAAGACCCUCCAAGUUUCUACAAUCAUUUUAUGUUGCUCAAAAAACAAAGUGUAGAGGUUUGCAAACCGAGAGUUUAAUAGGUUCAGUGCGGUGCCUUGGGCAUCCCCAAGCUUAUGGCUUUCACCAUUCUUGGAUAGCUCUUGAUGUGGUGUUCCUCCAUUUUCUGUCAAAAAACUUCAACACAAAACUUUCUCCCAUUUUCUUUUCUAUGGGGUGACAUUAGUGGUACAAGGAGUAGAUGCCAUAUAUAUCAAAAACAAAAAAUUCCUAAGUAGUCCAGCAAGCAUAUAGUGUCCUACACAUUUCUAGCAUAUCAAAAGACUUUUAGCAACAACAAAACGAAUUUAUUUCGACCACCUAUACAUGUCGGGAAUUUUGCCAAUUUUUAUAUAUAGGAUGAAAAGUUUCAAUUGCAGUGUGAAUAUGAGAGCAACCGGAGUUACAGAAAAAAAAUCAGGAAAUUUUUGUACUAAACAAUGUUAUGCAGAAAUUUCCUACUCCAUCUUUACUACUAGUAUUAAGGUGAAACCUGCGAAUGUCUGGUGGUGUCACACAUCCAAAAUAUUAUCCCUCUAAUUGAAUUUUUUUGAGACCAACCACAUAUUUCAUUAAUUGAAAAAUAAGUUACAUGAAGCAACACAUGCGGAAACUAAAAGACAAACCAGGGUAAAGUGAUUAUGCUAAAUUUGCAGAUAAAAUCCUAAAAUAUCGAGAAAUAAAAAAUGAUCCCUAGGGUUUCCUGCAACCACCGUAGCCAACGGCCGCUGCUCAACUCCAGCGUCACCGAGAUGGACACUGGAAAAGAUGCCAAACCUCCACCAUCGCAAGAUCCAAUAAAGCACCAUCGCCAAUGAGGCUUUGUGAGUCGAUGAACAGCCCUGCUGCAAGCAAUGAGGCACAUGUCGAUGUGGCAUGUCGGCCGAGGGACGUCCCCAUGCUAUCUUGGACCAAGAUCCGCCGCCUCCCAUCUAUGAAGUCGAAGAAGAACGACGUAUCCAACACCUCCGGACCAACAUCUUCGCUCCAGAAGAACCACCUCGUCCCGGCCCCCAGCGCCAUCGUAGAUAACAACGAACAUUGACGACACGCCGAGAAACAGAUCUCGUCAGAUCCGAAGAAAGACGAGAAGACCAAACCGACGAUCUAAAGGAUCGACAAUCACACAGUGCCAUCAACUCCGAGACACCACCAUGAAGAUCGCCGUCGGUAUGGAAGUGGAGUUGAGGCAGAUUUAUUCGCCGGAUUCCGCUCCCACCACUCCAAGGACGCACCACAGCAGAUAAACCCUAACUACAAACCGAAGGAAUGUAUCCCCUCCCCUUCCAGCCGUGGAGCGGCAAGCGGAAGGUGAGGGGGCCAACGCCCAUGCCAGAUUUGGAGCCCCGUCGCUUGACGUCAGAGACGAGCGAAGCGGUUGGAUCGUUCACGUCCUGGGAGGGAAGCAGUUUUAGGAACCAUUCAGUUCAAUUGAAACAAUUUACAUUGACAUGCCAAAUAGAGCCCGCAUCUGCCACUUUCAGCAACCAUCUUCCAUGGCAGGCGGGACCGCGAGAUGCCGAAGUUUCGCAUGAGCAGCCACAAAAUGGCCAGCCAUGAGCCAUGGUGGGCUUCAACGCAUUUCUGAACUGCAACGGGCAGCCUGAGAUAUCCAGCCCGCUAACCUAAACCCUAACCCCAACGACCACGCGGCCCGCGCCCUGCUGAGACGGCGGACCAGCCCUAGGCCGCGCUUGAACUCGUCGGGGUGCAGCGGCCAGAGAACUUCCUGGGAGCAGCCGAGGCACUUAUAUCCAUCGUACCGUCUCACCAGGUCGCGUCGCGGCCGCCGACAAUGCCGCCUGGACUGGACGCUGGUGCAGUUGGCUUCUCCGGUCUAGGAAGCAGCACGGGAUGAGACAAUUCAUUCAAUUUUUUGUUCGGUUACAAAUGUCAGAGCCAAAUCGAGCUGUUGUAUGAGUAAAAAGAUUGGUGUUGUAUGGUUGCUCUUGAGAAAGAUCGAUGCACUGCUGCUUGGUGGUUCGCUGUUAAUUGCAGAGCUAAAUGGUUAGCAAGACCGUUCGGACUGAAUAAAUCUCAAGAAGCAGUAAAGGAUGAUUUAGGGUCACUGCAGAGGAAGAAAAUAGAUGGAGGAACUCACACAUAGAGGUAUAGCCUGAAGGGAGGAGGAAGGAUAUGUUGGUGUGCUUCGAUGGUGGAGGCGGGUAUCAUGGCCAUGGUCUUCCUUUCUGCCGCUGGUGGCGCCGGAUGGCAUCGAUGGCAUGCAGGUAAACGACCAGCAACAACGACGAGGUAGCCUUCAGGUCAUUUCUCAUGUUCUUUGCCCAUUUUUGCGUCAGAUUUUAGUUCCUUUUAUUUUUCCUGAUCAUUCUGAGUUGUAGUGUAAGAUGAUGAUGAUUGUUUGUGUUUAUAGCAAGGAUGACAUAUUAAGCUUGAAAUUAAUCCUUCAGACUAUCGUUUGUGUUUCCUGUUUCUUUCUUUAGGUAGCAUUCUAUUCAAUUUUUUCUUCCUAAUUGAUAAUACACCAUUAAGUAGCAUAGUAGCCUCUUAUGUUCUUUUUUGUUUGAUAACCUAGAACAUAAUACUUCUUAAUGUUCUUUAUUCACUUUGCCCUUGAUAUAUGCAAUGCUUCACCAUGACAAAAAAAACCUGGUUUACUUAUUGUGCACAAAGUUGGUUUAGUUGGAUUGAUCCAGAAUAACAAUAUGAAAUUUUGAUGAUUUAUAAUUUCUGAACUGCGCUCUAUUUUGCAUUGUAAUUUAUUUGCAGAGAAUGGUUUUGUGAUAUUUGGUAUUAGUUAAAGAGAAUGCUAAAGCAUAUGGAAGAGUGGUACUAAUCAUGGAAUGUUGUGGUUUAAGCUUGCUUGAAUCUUGUUCCAGCCGAAGAGUAACACCUCCAAAGGCUUUGAUUUUUAUUUUUUUGGAGAACGGAGUCGGUGAAUAUGAAGGAUUCUGAUCAGUUUCUCCACUACUAUUUCUAUGCAUUUUGUUUCUUACUAAAAAGAAAAACCUGCUUGACUCACUUAUACACAUGUAUCCCUAUUGUUAUUCUACAUAAUUGAGUUUUGGAAGUUGGGGGAAGAGUUGGCGACGUGGAAGAUGAGAGGAACCGCAAGGCCACCGCUUUUGCUGGAGAGGCGGAGGUCGUUGGAGGCGAAGGUGGUGUUGUUUUCCCACUCUAUAAAGCUUUUCAGCAUAGAAAUAGAACACCGCAUGUUAAAUAGUUGAUGUGCCAUUGUGGCAUCGGCAUCAUGGCGAACGGCAGGCUGAGGCACUGCUGGUGUCGGAUGCCGCGGAGACUAGCCUUGGCAGGCGGCAGUUUUCUUUUUUUCUGCCAGUGUUCUACGCUAGAGAAAGGAAAACUCUCCCAUUUGGCUUUUCCUCCAUCGAAUCAAGCCAUUAUCAAGACAUCAACACUUCCCCGUCAUGAGACUUCAUCGAUCUCCAUAGUCAUCGACAAGCCUCCUAGCUGCACUCUACCCUCAAGAGUCAACAUGCUAAGCCGAUUGCAGCCCGCUAGAGCCGCGAGGUCCACCACUCCGUCUUGGAUGCCGCUUCCGCCAUGGAUUCUAAGCAUUCAAAUAAAACACAAGGCGUCGGUUGGAGCAUCGGUGAAACUGGUGUGUAUGUUGGUAUUCUACUUCGAUGCCGAUGUGAUGGUUCUUUUCUCCCUGUUGAUCAAGCUGUCCCAGUUGUCUCACUCAUCGCUGGACGCCUUGAAUUGCUGCUUCCCUCUGUCUUUUGUCGUUGUUGCGGUUUUCUCCCAUGGACCACAAGCUGGGCGAGUAUUAUGCAAAGGUGCAAGGUUUGUUCCUCUUCAGUUUCAAUCUGGAAACCAAAGACAUCCAUCUGCUCGCCUUUCUCUUUGUAUUCUCUCGAUUGUCAAUGAUGGCUUCACCCUAAAGCAGUUCAUCUAUCGAUAUUCUUCCAAAGGCUUGUGUGAAUUUCCUCUUCGGUGUUUCAAAUACCGUGUUUCUACUCUCCCACAAAAGAAGUAUAACAGAGUCUUAAUUUCAUGAUAACGCAUGAGGAUAUCGGAAGAGGGAUAUCAGAUGGUUCGUGCCAUCUUUUCGCUAUAGGCCCUUGGCAGGAUGUGCUAUUGAACAUAUGGAUUGUAUUGUACCUUACACUGUAGUUUUUUUCGUUUUGAGAUUCUCAUGGCUGAUCAGUUGGCUUAGCAGUAGUUGAUUUUGCUGGCCAUGUGUUUGACGAAACAUUGUUCGGAACAUGACGUGUGCUUCGGUGUCCCCCAGCUCCAUCCACCAUCAAAAUUGAAGGGGUACGUUAGCCCACGAAAGGCUAUCAAAAUAUCCUGGCUGUCCAUAGAGGCAAAAGUUCAGAGGGGAGGACAAAGCAAAACCAUUAGAACACUCAGGUGGCCUGUACGCUGCUUCGCUGCAUUAAAAUCAUUUGUAAUAACAAGGACUGCUGUGUACGCAAGUAAAGACAUGAAAAUCAUGUAUAUUAGCAUCUAUUGGCAUAUUAUUAAAACA